rnacentral:rRNA from 1 species
AGAUGACGUAUAAGGCCUGACACCUGCCCGGUGCUGGAAGGUUAAGAGGAGAGGUUAGUCGCAAGGCGAAGCUUUGAAUUGAAGCCCCAGUAAACGGCGGCCGUAACUAUAACGGUCCUAAGGUAGCGAAAUUCCUUGUCGGGUAAGUUCCGACCUGCACGAAUGGUGUAACGAUCUGGGCACUGUCUCAGCCAUGAGCUCGGUGAAAUUGUAGUUCCGGUGAAGAUGCCGGAUACCCGCAACGGGACGGAAAGACCCCGUGCACCUUCACUAUAACUUUGCAUUGACUGUGAAUAAACGAUGUGUAGGAUAGGUGGGAGAUUGUGAAGCGGAGGCGCCAGCUUUCGUGGAAUCAACCUUGAAAUACCACCCUUUGUUUAUUUGUAGCCUAAUCCCCAACGGGAGACAUUGCAUGGUGGGUAGUUUGACUGGGGUGGUCGCCUCCAAAAGAGUAACGGAGGCUUUCAAAGGUAUGCUCAGUACGCUUGGUAACCGUACGUAGAGUGCAAUAGCAUAAGCAUGCUUGACUGUGAGACCAACAAGUCGAGCAGGGUCGAAAGACGGAUAUAGUGAUCCGGUGGUUCCGCAUGGAAGGGCCAUCGCUCAAAGGAUAAAAGGUACGCCGGGGAUAACAGGCUGAUCACUCCCAAGAGCUCACAUCGACGGAGUGGUUUGGCACCUCGAUGUCGGCUCGUCACAUCCUGGGGCUGGAGAAGGUCCCAAGGGUUCGGCUGUUCGCCGAUUAAAGUGGCACGUGAGCUGGGUUCAGAACGUCGCGAGACAGUUCGGUCCCUAUCUGUUGUGGGCGUUGGAAGCUUGAGGGCACCUGACUCUAGUACGAGAGGACCGAGUCGGACAUACCGCUAGUGUACCUGUUGUGGCGCCAGCUGCAUUGCAGGGUAGCUACGUAUGGUUGAGAUAAGCGCUGAAAGCAUCUAAGCGCGAAACUCAGCCCAAGAUGAGGCUUCCUUUAAGGGUCGUUGUAGACUACGACGUUGAUAGGCUGCAGGUGUAAAGCCAGUAAUGGCAAAGCCGAGCAGUACUAA